UACGGAGGAUCCGAGCGUUACCCGGAUUUAUUGGGUUUAAAGGGUGCGUAGGCGGUUUGAUAAGUUAGAGGUGAAAUGUCGGGGCUCAACCCCGAAACUGCCUCUAAUACUGUUGGACUAGAGAAUAGUUGCGGUAGGCGGAAUGUAUGGUGUAGCGGUGAAAUGCUUAGAGAUCAUACAGAACACCGAUUGCGAAGGCAGCUUACCAAACUAUAUCUGACGUUGAGGCACGAAAGCGUGGGUAGCAAACAGG
rnacentral:rRNA from 1 species